GUGCUCGCUUCAGCAGCACAUAUACUAAAAUUGGAACGAUACAGAGAAGAUUAGCAUGGCCCCUGCGCGAGGAUGACGCGCAAAUUUGUGAAGCAUUCCAUAUUAAA
ensembl:snRNA U6 U6 spliceosomal RNA